GACAUAAACACUGGAGCUCCAGGGUUUAAGGGUUAAAAUCCAAUAUAAAUGUAUGUAUGUCUUUUGGUUUUCUGCUUCUCUCUGGGCACAAAUGAAAUGCUCAGAAACUAAAGAGGCUCAACGUUUUCUUUAUGUAAAACAGGUUUUCAGGUGGGAGGAAGGAAGGCACGUCUGAUCUGAACUGUGAACUCCUAAGUCCGCCGAAUCAACAGAAGUCAGUCACAGAUAGUUGCGAUUCAGGACUUUGUGACAGAACAGGAGACGGAGCUGCAUUGUGGCUGCCAGAAAAAAUGUCAGAUCCACACUAAAUGGAGGUGGUCUCCAAGAGUGUCUGCAUACAAAUAUUAGUGUGCAAGAACACUGAGGAAAACAUCACAACUUUCUACUAAGACUUGGUGCUCCCACGCGUCCCAGAUUUAACCAUGUGAAGCCCACCAUAUCAAAGAAUUAAUAGAAAAUUGAAAUGUGUGGGGAAUUAAGAUGUUUUUAAACCUGUUUAAUAAAAAACAAUUAAAAGUUUUGCAAUACUCUAUUGUUCAUGAAAUAUAGAUAGUAUUAAUUAUGAUUGGUGGAUGAUUUAGUAAGUUUUUUGCACAACACAGUGUUAGUUUGAGUUACAAAAAUGUUAACAUGAAUGUUUAGGAGGGGAAAAAAAUCACUGUCUCAAAUUUGAUCCACACAUUUUUUUUUAACAUGUAGCAGUAUCAUAAAGACUAAAUUAUAGACAAAUGUUGCAUUCUUUUAAUACAGCAAGUAGUCAUAUUAAAAAAAACAAUAGAUAAGUUAUUUAUUUUACUUUAUUUUUGUUCAAUUUUAGAUCUUACAACAACAAAAUAUAUCACACUGAUACAAAAAAUUUAAAUAAAUAAAUAAUAAUAACAUAAACAAUUGAAAAGGUAAAUAUACACAAAUAUAACAAGGAAAAAAUAAAAAAAUAAAAAGUGUACAUAGAAGUGUACAAUAUUGGUCAAUGUUGAUCUGGAGUUUACUAAAUUUAUUUAUUUACUAUUGCAGAUAAGUUAUUUUUUACCAAAAACUUAAAACAUUUGUAAAACUUUUUUCCCACCAGA